rnacentral:rRNA from 1 species
AGCUACAGGCUUAACACAUGCAAGUCGAGGGGCAGCAUGGACCCAGCUUUGCUGGGUUUGAUGGCGACCGGCGCACGGGUGAGUAACGCGUAUCCAACCUGCCCUUUACUCCGGGAUAGUCUCCUGAAAGGGAGUUUAAUACCGGAUGUGUUUGUCUUUCCGCAUGGGAGCGACAAAUAAAGAUUGAUUGGUAAAGGAUGGGGAUGCGUCCCAUUAGCUUGUUGGCGGGGUAACGGCCCACCAAGGCGACGAUGGGUAGGGGUUCUGAGAGGAAGGUCCCCCACAUUGGAACUGAGACACGGUCCAAACUCCUACGGGAGGCAGCAGUGAGGAAUAUUGGUCAAUGGGCGGGAGCCUGAACCAGCCAAGUAGCGUGAAGGACGACGGCCCUACGGGUUGUAAACUUCUUUUAUAAGGGAAUAAAGUUCGCCACGUGUGGUGUUUUGUAUGUACCUUAUGAAUAAGCAUCGGCUAAUUCCGUGCCAGCAGCCGCGGUAAUACGGAAGAUGCGAGCGUUAUCCGGAUUUAUUGGGUUUAAAGGGAGCGUAGGCGGGCUUUUAAGUCAGCGGUCAAAUGUCACGGCUCAACCGUGGCCAGCCGUUGAAACUGCAAGCCUUGAGUCUGCACAGGGCACAUGGAAUUCGUGGUGUAGCGGUGAAAUGCUUAGAUAUCACGAAGAACUCCGAUCGCGAAGGCAUUGUGCCGGGGCAUAACUGACGCUGAGGCUCGAAAGUGCGGGUAUCAAACAGGAUUAGAUACCCUGGUAGUCCGCACGGUAAACGAUGAAUGCUCGCUAUGGGCGAUAUAUUGUCCGUGGCCAAGCGAAAGCGUUAAGCAUUCCACCUGGGGAGUACGCCGGCAACGGUGCAACUCAAAGGAAUUGAAGGA